AAAAAAAAUUAAAAUUAAAAGAAGCAACAUGUCCACAAACAAAUUAUCAUGAGUGGCAAAACAAAUACUGUUAUUUUAAAAACUCAAACUAGAUUUUAACCCGCAGUAUACCGCGGAACGAUUUAUUUUUUAAAAGUAAUAUAUAUUAAAACUUGCAAAUUUUAUUUUUAUAAAAUAUUUCAAUUUUACAGUUUAUAAUUGUUAUUAAGUAACGCUAUACCACGAAUCCAUGAGACAAUCAUGAGACAAUUGUUAAAAAACUGAAGUUUUAACCCCUAUUAAAACAGCAUACUAAUAAUAUUUUAAAAUUUUAUAAAUAUUGAUUCAAAUACAUCUACCAUAUAACCCAAUUCCAAAAUAAAACCCGUUCUGUAAUUUUUUAACCCGUCCCGUGAUUUUUUUUUUGAAGUAGUAAUUUUUAAAAUUUAAGAAUUAUUUU
rnacentral:sRNA from 1 species